rnacentral:rRNA from 1 species
GGAGUAAAGUUUUGUUUAAACCGAAAAAAUAUUGACUGACUUUGGAUUUUUCUUUGGAAUAUGUAUAUUUUUUGGAAGGCCCUCCUUUUUAGUGGAUCUUAUUGGCACAUGUAUGAUUGUUUAGUUUUUAUUUUUUGUGUGAUGCUUGUUUUCUUUUUGUGUUAAAAAACAGAUAAAUACUUGGCUUAUUGGUCUAUUUAUAUGUAUUACUAUUUUUAAUUUUUUUUGGAUGAUCUUUUAAUUUUUUUCUGAAAUUGGAAAAGAAAGUAAUUUAUUUUUAAUGUGUUUAUGAAUUUAAUAAGCAAAGUGGUACAAACCAUCCGUCA